rnacentral:rRNA from 1 species
UACGUAGGGGGCAAGCGAUAUCCGGAAUUAUUGGGCGUAAAGAGCUCGUAGGCGGUUUGUCGCGUCUGCUGUGAAAACUGGAGGCUCAACCCCGAACUUGCAGUGGGUACGGGCAGACUAGAGUGUGGUAGGGGAGACUGGAAUUCCUGGUGUAGCGGUGAAAUGCGCAGAUAUCAGGAGGAACACCGAUGGCGAAGGCAGGUCUCUGGGCCACUACUGACGCUGAGAAGCGAAAGCAUGGGGAGCGAACAGG